CCUUCCUCACCUAAAUUUCUCGCCGCGCCCCCUCCCUCCCUGGCGCCUGGAGUGGCGUCCGGUCCUGCGGUCCCUUCGCUGGACCUGGGCGGCGCGCGUGCCAAGCCCCCUCCGCUUUGAUUCCUGUGCCCCCAGUCCUAGCUCCUCUCUUUUGUAGCCCCCUUUAAUCCCUCUCCCACUAUUCAACCUAACUUCAGCCCCGGCGCUGCGCCCCCCUCCUCCGUCCGGGCUCUAUUGGCCGCUUCCUGCGCUGUCAGACUUGGGUCCGGCGCUCUUAUUGGGCCAUUCUCUGGCCGCGCGGCCGUGCCAACGGAGGGCGCGCCGGGCGGGGGGCUCCCGGGCAGCUACUGCUUCAGGCAACCGGAGCCUAGAGUCCCUGGAGGGGGCAGAGGAGCCCUGGAGCCAGACCCGGAAAUGAACGGGGGAGAUGGAGACACUGAGGAUCUCUGAAGCGCAGGAAGACAGUGACAGAAAAGAUGGAGAUGCGAGUACGAGGAAAGAAUAUGGCCCUGGCUUCUAAGAAGGCUAUGUGGUGUGGGAAGAGCAUGGAUGACUUUGGAGGACAGAGAUGGCCACUACAGCAUGU